AAUGAAAUGCCUGAUUAAUAGGAUUAUUAUGAUAUAAUAAAUUAUAUAAUUGAAAGAUUAUUUUCAUUA
rnacentral:tRNA from 1 species